UGGCGGACGGGUGAGUAAUGUCUGGGAAACUGCCUGAUGGAGGGGGAUAACUACUGGAAACGGUAGCUAAUACCGCAUAACGUCGCAAGACCAAAGAGGGGGACCUUAGGGCCUCUUGCCAUCGGAUGUGCCCAGAUGGGAUUAGCUUGUUGGUGGGGUAACGGCUCACCAAGGCGACGAUCCCUAGCUGGUCUGAGAGGAUGACCAGCCACACUGGAACUGAGACACGGUCCAG
rnacentral:rRNA from 1 species